rnacentral:misc_RNA from 1 species
AAGGCUUCGGCCUGCUUAAUGGCUUCAUCAAAAGUCCGGACCUGUCGCCGCUCCAACUCCGUUCUGGCCCAAUUUUGCAGCCCAUCCAUGAAGUGGAACAACAUGUCUUCAUCCGUGAGGUUGGGAAUCUGAAAUGUAAGGGUGGUGAACUCCUGCACAUACGCGCGUAUGCUGCCCUUUUGUUUCAACUCCCUAAACUUGCGCUUUGCCUCAUAGAUGACAUUGUUGGGAUAAAAUGCCUUCUUGAAAUCCUCACGGAACUGCUCCCAUGUGUUCAAAGUGCAUAUCCCCUUUCUGACGUCGGACUCUUUACGUUUCCA